UGAUUAUUUGAAUCUGUUGUGCUAGGGGGGAAAACCCUAGCUUGAUGAUGAGGUGAUUAUUAGAAUCUGUUGUGCUAGGGGGGAAAACCCUAGCUUGAUGAUGAGGUGAUUAUUAGAAUCUGUUGUGCUAGGGGGGAAAACCCUAGCUUGAUGAUGAGUUGAUUAUUUGAAUCUGUUGUGCUAGGGGGGAAAACCCUAGCUUGAUGAUGAGUUGAUUAUUUGAAUCUGUUGUGCUAGGGGGAAAACCCUAGCUUGAUGAUGA